rnacentral:tRNA from 1 species
GCCGACGUAGCUUAGUGGUAAAGCACACGCAUGGUAAGCGUGAGAGCACGAGUUCAAUCCUCGUCGUCGGCUCCA